UCCCCGCUUUUCCUCCCUGAGCGGGGCCUUGAUGUGUGACAGCAAAAAAGGCUUGCAACCCCGGCUUGUGCCGGGGUUUUUUUUU
rfam:Hylemonella gracilis ATCC 19624 Contig34, whole genome shotgun sequence.